ACUCAAAUGAAUUGACGGGGGCCCGCACAAGCGGUGGAGCAUGUGGUUUAAUACGUUACUAACCGUAGAACCUUACCAGGGUUUGACAUGGCGUGCUAUGCUAUGAAAGUAGCCUUCUCCGCAAGGAGACACGCACACAGGUGUUGCAUGGCUGUCGUCAGCUCGUGUCGUGAGAUGUUGGGUUAAGUCCCGCAACGAGCGCAACCCUCAUCCCAUGUUGCCAUCGGGUCAAGCCGGGAACUCUUGGGAAACUGCCGGGGUAACUCGGAGGAAGGUGAGGACGACGUCAAGUCAGCAUGGCCCUUACAUCCUGGGCUACACACAUGCUACAAUGGACGGUAGACAGAGGGAUCCGAGACCGCGAGGUGGAGGCAAUCUCAGAAAUCCGUUCUCAGUUCGGAUCGUAGGCUGCAACUCGCCUACGUGAAGCCGGAAUCGCUAGUAAACGCAGGUCAGCUAAACUGCGUUGAAUACGUUCCCGGGCCUUGUACACACCGCCCGU
rnacentral:rRNA from 1 species